rnacentral:rRNA from 1 species
UACGUAGGGUGCAAGCGUUAAUCGGAAUUACUGGGCGUAAAGCGUGCGCAGGCGGUUCUAUAAGACAGAUGUGAAAUCCCCGGGCUCAACCUGGGAACUGCAUUUGUGACUUGAAGAGCUGGAGUACGGUAGAGGGGGAUGGAAUUCCGCGUGUAGCAGUGAAUGCGUAGAUAUGCGGAGGAACACCGAUGGCGAAGGCAAUCCCCUGGGCCUGCACUG